UUAGCAAGCAUCAAUAGCAGUCUUCCACUAUCUGGGUUAGGAAAAGUUAAAAACCAGCGACAGGAAGUACUGCCAACCGGCAUUGACUUUGGCCUGCAGGAAAUGACAAGGACGAUGCUGGUCUUGAUCAAAUCUUCCUGUUGAUGGAAAAGUUUGAAGACACAUUGCCUGCAGCCUACUGUAGAAGUGAGGGCAGAGAGUUGGACAGACCUUCUACACCAGUCUUAGAAGAACCUGUAGGACAGAGAAGAAGAUUCCAGAUCAGACGUGACUU